rnacentral:rRNA from 1 species
UACGUAGGGGGCAAGCGUUGUCCGGAAUCAUUGGGCGUAAAGAGCGUGUAGGCGGCCCGGUAAGUCCGCUGUGAAAGUCUAGGGCUCAACCCUGGAAUGCCGGUGGAAACUGUCGGGCUAGAGUCCGGAAGAGGCGAGUGGAAUUCCUGGUGUAGCGGUGAAAUGCGCAGAUAUCAGGAGGAACACCAAUGGCGAAGGCAGCUCGCUGGGACGGUACUGACGCUGAGACGCGAAAGCGUGGGGGAGCAAACAGG